AGCAGAUACCUGUGUUUUACUUAAUUACGAUAAAUGUGGAUGAUAGCUGUAAUGCGCUAUGGGGGACCUUGAAUUUAGCGUGGGUUGCAUAGAAUCAAGCAUCAUUAAAGUGCUGAGCAUGUGUAAUUAAAUAAGGGAUUAGCUGACUUCCAAACUAAAAAGAGUGCUUUUUGAACAUGGAUUUUAGGUGUGUUUGGCAACAAGAUCGGAUCCUCAUCUGUGCACGAGCAAACUUAGGAAAUAAUAGGAAAUUUAAAAAAGUUAUGGUAAUAGCCUGGUGGGGGUAUGUGUUGUAGGUUGUGCGUGCGCUGAGCGGCGGUCCCCUCCCCUGCUCCUUGCUUUGUUGUCGUGCAUAAGGAGGGUUAUUGAGAGGCCCAAGUGGUUACUGACUUUCUGACAUAGAAAAUAAUAGUAAAAAACAAAGUGUGGGGUUGCCAAAAUCAGAAGGUGAGAGACGAGUCAUGUGGGUGUGUGGUGGGGGGGAUGGGAUUGGACAAUGGCUGUACGAGCGUGUGACAGGGAGAGGUAAAAUUUUACAGUUGAAACAGUUGAGAGUUCACACGCAGUUGAGUGUUGAGCAGAGGUUGUGGGCAGUGGGGGUGGCGCUGCGUCGGAACUCGCGGUCAGGAGCCACUUACCUUGCUGUGGGUCUUACAAGGCAUGUCUCAGCUUUUAUUGGAAAGUGGAAACUGCAGUGGUAUGGGCCUCCACAGCUUCUCUUUUUCCAGGUGUCAGAUGAGGUGAGAGGCACAUGGUACUUGGGGGCUGUGCCAAUGCUUCAAUUGCUGGGAUUGAUAACGAAUGGUUUCUGUACUGUAAAAGAAAUAUAUAUGGCUGUUGAGAGAGAGCGCGGAGGAGUGCAGAAUCACGGGUGGGAAAGGCCAGGGCGUCCAGGCUUCUUAAUGACCUGUGCUCCAGCCUCCAUCUACAGGGCCACGCCUGUUCUGAGGAGUAAGGUCUCACCACAUAUGGACCCACUUCCAGAUUUAGGGUUGGGGUGGGAACCUGGAAUUGUAAUCGGAGUUCAAGGAAAGCACAAAGCUUCUUUGCCCAUUCCACGCAUUUUCUUCUCAUAUUUUACAACGAUCGCAGCUUUAUUCCCCUUCCCAUCUAAACCUUUGGGAAUCAGAUUACCGUGUGAUGACGCUGAAAAGUAAACUCUAUCGGGUCCUAACUCCUGAGUUAAUUAAUUAAAUUAGACUCAACAAAUACUGACAAGUGCAUCAAUUUAUUAUAUUUCAAAAGCAAUGUCGUCACUUGCCAGUUGUCAAAUGAAGGCAAACCAUUCCGAUUAUUUCUACAUAUUUUUAUUU